AAUAGGGACUUCCUCAGGGACCACAAUAUAAGAAACAAUUUGAUACAGUACAAUCAAAAAACAGCUGUUUUUUGAUUGUACUGUAUCAAAUUGUUUCUUAAUAUUGUGGUCCCUGAGGAAGUCCCUAU